AAGGAAUAUUGGUCAAUGGAGGAAACUCUGAACCAGCCAUCCCGCGUGCAGGAUGAAGGGGCUCUGCCCUGUAAACUGCUUUUGAAUGGGACGAAAAAGCCUCACUUGUGAGGAACUGACGGUACCAUUAGAAUAAGCACCGGCUAACUCCGUGCCAGCAGCCGCGGUAAUACGGAGGGUGCAAGCGUUAUCCGGAAUCACUGGGUUUAAAGGGUGCGUAGGCGGUUGUAUAAGUCAGUGGUGAAAGGCCGUAGCUUAACUAUGGGAUUGCCAUUGAUACUGUAUGACUUGAAUGAGGUUGAGGUUGGCGGAAUGUGGCAUGUAGCGGUGAAAUGCUUAGAUAUGCCAUGGAACAUCGAUUGCGAAGGCAGCUGACUGGACCUGAAUUGACGCUGAGGCACGAAAGCGUGGGGAGCGAAC
rnacentral:rRNA from 1 species